AUCUGAGAGAUAUUUGUUUCUCGUGUCAUUGUUUUGGAGAUUCGGCAUAGUGGAAAAUUUAACAUAAGAAAUGCAUGUUAUAUACUAGGGAUCUGCUCAUGAUUUUGUCCUGAGUACCCAUGUAGGAGGUAAAUCCUAGUUGAAUAUCUUCAAACAAGAACAAUCAUAGAUAAAUUGACUUUCCUUUUUUGAAUGCCUACAUUUACUAGUAUAAUUUGAUUCGAAAAGGCCUACCAUGGGCAUUUUACAGUUUGAUUGGGUAAUCACGGUUUAUAAUUCUGUACUUUCUACCUAACAUCUAAUAAGACAUCGAAAUAUAUAAUACUAGUAAUUUCCAACAAUUGAUCACAUAAGUGUUAAUGCCUAAUAUUUCUGAUUUCGAUAAGUUUUUUUUUACCGAACUUGGCUACCUGUGAGAGUAUUGUACGGUUGGUCUAAUUUGGUGUGAUUUUGGGAAGUGUUAGGCCUAAAUAUAUCCAACUUUUGAUUGAUAAGACAAGCCGAGAAUUUAGUCUGCAGACAUGGUCGAGACAUGUACGUAUAUAUAUAUGCACUUUGAUGCAAAACUUUGGAAACGAUGUGUAAACGUAUAUAUCAGUGAGUAAUGGGCUGGUAAUAAGUACUUGUCCUUUAUUUUCUUUUAUUAACCAACUAAGUACAUUAUUGCCAAAAAUGACUGGUUAUUAAAAAUAACAUAUUUUCUGUAAUGGCCUGUUUUUCUGUAAUGGCCUGUUUUUUCUGUAAUGGCCCUGACUUUUUUGUAAUGGCCCUGUAUUAAUGCCCAACUUGUCUGUAUUUAGCCCAGUUAGGGUUUUUAAUAAAGUUGAUAAAAUUAAGCUGUAAAGAGUAGAAUACCUUUUUAUUUUUAUUUAAUUUAGUAACCAGCAACAAACUUAAAGAACCAUAUAAAGGGAUCACUGUUCAUCCUGUCUUCAACAAUAUUGGAUAUUUGGUAAAAGUAUAUUUAAAUCUUAGAUCAUGUGAAGUACAAAUAUUUUUUUUCAAACUAAACUGUCAUUAAAGAGUAAGAAGUACAUCAAGUUGCAGCAAAGCAUACACUUUUUUCAGUUGGUUAAUAAUGAUAGAAAUGGGUGUUUUUUAAUGGCCGUUAUAUGUCCUUGUCAGUAAUAAUAGCCUCGGAUGUCUGUAAUGGCCCUGCGUUGCUCCGGCCAUUACAGACCCUCACAUUUUAAGACUUGACAUAUAACAGGGCCAUUAUAAAAAUACCCAUUCAUUAAUACUAUAGUUAUAUAUUUCUGUAUGGAUUAUCCGAGCCUUCCUAUACUAAAAUGAUAAGCAAUAAAAACCAUCAUUUUUUCAAAAUAUGGUCAAAAUACAGGGGGAUAAAGUUUUUAUUUCUGUAUAUGGAAAAGGUGGGUUCAAUUUUUUUUAUAAUUUCAAAGUGGGGGAAUCAAUAUUCCAUGUACAUGUAAAUAAAAAGUUAACAUACUUCAAAAGACAAAAUGUCAAAUAGAACAUUACAACAGUCAAAUGGAAAUAUAUGUUUACCACUAAUCAUAUACAUGUACAAUUAAGUAAGAUAUCACAUGAAAGUUUACAGACUCAAUGGAGAUUUCCAUAUGACCUAAUGUAAAACUUAGUUUACUGAUGCAGCGUUCAAGAGAGGGACAUAUGAUUGAUCCCUAAUAGUAAACAAUGUGUUGUUACUAGUUCAAAAGGUUUACAUUUUAAUGUAUAUUUUUACAGAGUUACUUAAGACAAGUUUCCUUUAAUAGCCCAAUAAAGAAAAUUCGAAAAAAAGUCAGAAAAAGCUUUCAUAAGCACAGGCUUGCUCUACCUACUAAUAUUCAUGAUAGAGUCCUAUUUCAAGGCAAUUAUUUCUCCUAAUAUGGUUUUGCAUGUUUUAAAAAGUUAAGCGUUUUAUACGACCGCAAAAAAUUUUUUGCGAUUGAUAUUAUCAUAUCAUGUCGUCGUCGUCCGAAGACAUGUGGUUUUCGCACAAUAAAUUUAGUAUAAGUAAAUAGAAAUCUACUACACAAAGUUUUUGACCACAAAAAGAAGUUGGGGAUUAAUUUUUGGAGUUUUGGUUCCAACAGUUUAGGAAUUAGGGGACGAAAGGGUCCAAAAUUAAACUUUGUUUGAUUUCAUUAAAAAAAUAUUUUUGGAGUUCUUUGAUAUGCUGAAUCUAACCGUGUAUUUAGAUUCUUAAUUUUUGGUCCUGUUUUCAAAUUGGUCCACACUGAAGUCUAAAUGGUCCAAAAUUGAACGUUAUUUGAUCUCUUGGGGUUCUUUGAUAUGCUGAAUCUAACCAUUUAUUUAGAUUUUGGAUAUUGGACCAUAAAGAGAAAUUUUUAAGUUUUUAAGCUUAAGUUCUUAGACCACAUUCAUUCUGUGUCAGAAACCUUUGUUGUGUCAACUUUUUAAUCACAAUCCAAAUUUAGAGCUGUAUCAAGAUUGAAUGUUGUGUCCAUACUUGCCCUAACUGUUCAGGGUUCGACCUCUGCGGUCAUAUCAAUCUGUGCCCUGCGGAGCAUUUAAUUUCAUACAAAUGGGGGAGUCAUAUUUUAAAAAUAUUUUGAUGAGGAGGGGGGGGAUCAAAUUAAAAAUAGUAAAAUAUUAGGGGGGGGGGUUUAAGAAAAUUUUACAUGUUUGAUUUCAAAAUGACCAGCCCCCCUUUCAGGUCAAAAAUAAUUAGUCCCUUAUCCACAUUUGUACUGUUUGCAACAACAUAAUUUAAUUGCAACUGCAGAACAAUUGAAUGUUAAUUAAACACUAGAUAUAAAUUGAUUAGCUUCAAAUACUAGCUCCACCUAGCUGUGUCAUUCAAAGUAUUUAGUACGAUUCUUUUUUAUACAUUUUUACCCGAAUUUUAAAUUGUUGCUUAGUUUAAAUGAACCGUCGUCUAAAAGAUUAAACCAAUUAAGCGUCCUUGAACUAAAUAUUCAGCAAUGUUUAUAUAUUAUGCAUCCUGGGUGACUGAUUUUAUGUCAACACGUAAAAAGAUUGAAAAAAUCAUUAAUCCAUGCAGUGGUAACUUGUUUUGCUAAAUCACACAGAGCAAGUGGUUGGACUUAGAUAAUCAGAUAAGUAAUAUAACAUGCCUAAAUUGUACAUUAAUUAUAAGAAGUGUCUUUUGUACUUAUUUUUAUUAUUUUAGUGAUCUUUGUUGUUAUAUGAUUUGACUUUGAUGUAUUGAAGACCCAUUGGUGGCCUAAGGCUGUUUGCUUCUCUUUGGUCGGGUUGUUGUCUCUUUGACACAUUCCCCGUUCCAAUUCUCAUUUUUAUUCUUAUAUUAAAUUUAUGCCUCUGGUGCUCGUAACCACCUUGCUUUGCUGCGUUUAUCCCCCGCAACUAAAUGUUAGGGGGUGGUGCAUAUGGUUUUAUCUGUAUCCGUCCGUCCUUCCAUCCUCCUGUCUCAUUAUGGGUAUAUAGUUAUUCCAGAUAACUCCGCCUACAGUUUGAAUGCUAGGCCGAAGUUUUCAUGCACUUUGCUGGUUGUUUUUAAAAGUAUUAUAUAUUAAAGAUGUGCAAGCAGCAUGUGGUUAGGGUUUAGAUUAUAUAUAUAUAUUGCAUAAGAGGUGCAUAUGCUAUAGCGUUUCCAGAAAACACCUCAUUUGUCCAGUCAAACACAGAUUUUACCUCAAACUAAUUGCAAAAUAAAAUGUUUUAGUUCUAAUCUAUAGCAUUAUGCCCUUUGUAUACACAGAAAAAAAGUCCCAUAAAAUCUAACUUGAGGAAAUUUAAACUCAAAAUCAGCAUUUUUAAUUUCCUAUGGAAAUUAACAGUGAAAGGGGAAAUAACUCUUGCAAAAAUGAGUCUUUUUUGGUCAGUUUUUGGUUGUUUUUCUUGAAAUUUAUGUAAAGUGUGAUACUUUGAUGGGGUUAUAAGUUUGUAGUUGACUAUAUUGUAUAAUCUUCUGCUCAUGAAAUGUACAAAACCGAAGUGUUAUGGGUAGUUUUAUUUUUUUCGUGCGUUUUUCACUAAAGAAAAUGCAAACUUGAAGCUUUAUAACCAUUUUGAAAAAAAUAACGUGAAAAUGUGGUAUUGUUUAUACUUGUAUGUUAAAAUUUUUUCGGCAACUAACUUAUCUAAAGGAACUUUAAACCACAAAAAUAAAAAUACAUGCUUAAUUAUUUUUAUUAAAUUUGAGAUUCUUUACCUUGACAUGUUGAAAAAUUCAAUAAAUGUUCAACUAAUGAGGGUUUGGAUGGGGUUAAAUGAUUAAAGAAUAAUGCCCUUAAAAAUGAAGAUUAGAGAAUAAGGGGCAAAAAAAUGAAGAUUAGAGAAAUGCGUGGUCUAAUUGUUUGAAGAUUAGAGAAAAAAGGGGUCAAUUUUUUGAAGAUUAGAGAAAAAAGGGGUGAAAAUUAAAUGUUUACAUAACAGACCCCCCCCCCCCCCUCUCCAUCCAGACCCUCACUAAUGAAUUACGAAAUGUAGAUUAUAGCUUGAUAAAAUAUAUGAAAACACCUUUAGAGUUGUUUGUUAUACUCUAAAGACCGCUAAAAAAUCAAAAAUCAGUACAUUCUGAUGAAUAGAAGCGUUAAAGUUAUAAUUUUGUAUCCAUUUUAUUGAUAUUUCUGCCUUUUUGCAAGAGUUAUCUCCCUUUUCAAUGCAAAUCUCCAUAGCAAUUUUGAAUGGUGAUUUUCUAAGUCUUCCUCAAGUUAGAUUUUAUGGGACUUUUUCUGUGUUUAUUUGGGGUAUAAUACUAAAGAUUAAAACAUAAAAAUCUUAUGUUGCAAUUACGGGUUAGGGUCAAAUUUAUGCUAGUUUGACUGGACUACAUACAGUUCAAAUGCUAGAAAGUUUUCACUUUGCUGGCUGUUUGUACAUAUUUUGAAGGUGUGCAUGUGGUAUAUUGAAGUUUUUGUUUUUAAGGAUGUCAGAAGCAAAUAUUGAAGCAUUCCUGGCUGAGGAGCCAAGCCCAUUGCUAGUUUACCAAGAUAUCAAAUUACCAUCCUUUUUACCUCUAAGAGGGGAUGGACUUGAGAAGAGAAUGAAAGAAAUUACCGAAUUUAACUUCCUUGAAAGCGACAUACUAAUAUGCGGUUAUCCGAAAUCAGG
rnacentral:lncRNA from 1 species